CGGCCGGCGGUUGUUCCCGUUACGUGGGGACGGGGAGGAGGGACGGAGGACCGGACCCCCUGACGGACGCCAGCCCUACAGGGGAAUGGCGCCUUCCCCUCAGGCAGAGAUCGGGAGCGGGGUUCGGGAGACAGUGGCAUCUUCCCCUCAGGCAGAGACCGGGAGCGGGGUUCAGGGGGCAGUGGCAUCUUCCCCUCAGGCAGAGACCGGGACAAGGGUUCAGGGAGCAGUGGCAUCUUCCCCUCAGGCAGAGACGGGGAGCGGGGUUCAGGGGGCAGUGGCAUCUUCCCCUCAGGCAGAGAUCGGGAGCGGGGUUCAGGGAGCAGUGGCAUCUUCCCCUCAGGCAGAGACCGGGACAGGGGUUCAGGGAGCAGUGGCAUCUUCCCCUCAGGCACAGACCCGGGAGAAGAUUCGUAGGGAAUAGCGCCUUCCCCUCAGGCAGAGAUCGGAAGAGGGGUAUGAAAGAGAAUGGCACCUUUGCCUCAGGUAAUGACCUGAAGAAGAGUAUGAGGAGGGAAUAGUGCUUUCCCCUCAGGAUGAGGCUGUGAGAGAGGUGCAGUGGGAAAAUGGCGCCGUCCCCUCAGGUGUUGAUGGAGACAUGGGUAAAGUGGGCCAUGGCAUCUUCACCUCAGGGGGUGACCAGGAGAGGGGUACAGACAGGAAUGGCACCUUGCCCUCAGGUAGAGAUGGGGAAGGGGGGUACAGGGGAAAAUGGCAUCACCCUCACAGGCAAAGACUGGGAGAGGGGUAUGGGAGAAUGGUGCUUUCUCUUCAGGUGGAAACUGUGAGAGGCCUACAGAGUACAACAGCAUCUUCUCAGGUAGAGGGAUAUUGCACAUGUCCAUGAAGUAACUGAUACAGGCAUGCACAGAUGCUCAGGAAAAUGCUAAGGAGGACGAAUUUUAGUAGAAGAGGGCUAGGAACACCGAGCCUGAACAGCUCCUUGCUCUUGAGGUUGGUGCCAUUACAUCUGCUUGGGCCAAGCUGGAUGAGGACAGAGUCCUGCUUGCAGAGUCAAUCAGCAAAAAAAGUAUCCUGAGAAAUAGCAAAAGUGUACAAAAUCGUCAAAUCCACGGAGAGACAGCCUUCCUAGGCCUCAAUUUUU